rnacentral:snRNA from 1 species
GUGCUCGCUUCGGCAGCACAUAUACUAAAAUUGGAACCAUACAGAGAAGAUUAGCAUGGCCCUUGUGCAAGGAUGAUACACAAAUUCGUGAAACAUUCCAUAUUUUU